rnacentral:rRNA from 1 species
UUCUGUGGAAAUUCUUUCGGGAAUGGAAAUGAAAUGAAAGUGGCGAACGGGUGAGUAACACGUGAGCAACCUACCUUACACAGGGGGAUAGCCGUUGGAAACGACGAUUAAUACAGCAUGAGACCACAGAAUCGCAUGAUAUAGGGGUCAAAGAUUUAUCGGUGUAAGAAGGGCUCGCGUCUGAUUAGCUAGUUGGAAGGGUAAAGGCCUACCAAGGCGACGAUCAGUAGCCGGUCUGAGAGGAUGAACGGCCACAUUGGAACUGAGACACGGUCCAAACUCCUACGGGAGGCAGCAGUGGGGAAUAUUGCACAAUGGGGGGAACCCUGAUGCAGCGACGCCGCGUGAGCGAAGAAGGUUUUCGAAUCGUAAAGCUCUGUCCUAUGAGAAGAUAAUGACGGUAUCAUAGGAGGGAGCCCCGGCUAAAUACGUGCCAGCAGCCGCGGUAAUACGUAUGGGGCGAGCGUUGUCCGGAAUUAUUGGGCGUAAAGGGUACGUAGGCGGUUUUUUAAGUCAGGUGUGAAAGCGUGAGGCUUAACCUCAUUAAGCACUUGAAACUGGAAGACUUGAGUGAAGGAGAGGAAAGUGGAAUUCCUAGUGUAGCGGUGAAAUGCGUAGAUAUUAGGAGGAAUACCGGUGGCGAAGGCGACUUUCUGGACUUUUACUGACGCUCAGGUACGAAAGCGUGGGGAGCAAACAGGAUUAGAUANCCUGGUAGUCCACGCCGUAAACGAUGAAUGCCAGGUGUUGGGAGUCAAAUCUCGGUGCCGA